AGGACGAACGCUGGCGGCAUGCCUAACACAUGCAAGUCGAACGCUUUUGGGGCUUCGGUCCCAAAGGAGUGGCGCACGGGUGAGUAGCGCGUGGGAACCUGCCCUGUUGUGGGGGAUAACCGAGGGAAACUUCGGCUAAUACCGCAUACGCCCGGGGGAAACUCCGGGGAAAGAUUUAUCGCAGCAGGAGGGGCCCGCGUCGGAUUAGGUAGUUGGUGGGGUAACGGCCCACCAAGCCUGUGAUCCGUAGCUGGUCUGAGAGGAUGAUCAGCCACACUGGGACUGAGACACGGCCCAGACUCCUACGGGAGGCAGCAGUGGGGAAUAUUGGACAAUGGGCGCAAGCCUGAUCCAGCAAUGCCGCGUGAGUGAUGAAGGCCUUCGGGUUGUAAAGCUCUUUCGCACGCGACGAUGAUGACGGUAGCGUGAGAAGAAGCCCGGCUAACUUCGUGCCAGCAGCCGC
rnacentral:rRNA from 1 species